GCAGCCGCGGUAAUACGUAGGGGGCGAGCGUUAUCCGGAUUUAUUGGGUGUAAAGCGUGUGUAGGCGGUUUAUUAAGUUUAAGAUUAAAGCCCGGAGCUCAACUCCGGUUCGUCUUAAAAACUGGUAGACUUGAGUAUGGUAGAGGCAAAUGGAAUUUCUAGUGUAGCGGUGAAAUGCGUAGAUAUUAGAAGGAACACCAGUGGCGAAGGCGAUUUGCUGGGCCAUUACUGACGCUGAGACACGAAAGCGUGGGGAGCAAAUAGGAUUAGAUACCCC
rnacentral:rRNA from 1 species